rnacentral:rRNA from 1 species
UACGGAGGAUGCGAGCGUUAUCCGGAUUUAUUGGGUUUAAAGGGUGCGUAGGCGGACUGUCAAGUCAGCGGUAAAAUUGGGAGGCUCAACCUCUUCCCGCCGUUGAAACUGGUGGUCUUGAGUGGAUGAGAAGUACGCGGAAUGCGUGGUGUAGCGGUGAAAUGCAUAGAUAUCACGCAGAACUCCGAUUGCGGAGGCAGCGUACCGGCAUCCAACUGACGCUGAGGCACGAAAGCGUGGGGAUCAAACAGG